rnacentral:misc_RNA from 1 species
GAUGAAGAACGUAGCGAAAUGCGAUAAGUAAUGUGAAUUGCAGAAUUCAGUGAAUCAUCGAAUCUUUGAACGCACCUUGCGCCUUUUGGUAUUCCGAAAGGCACACCUGUUUGAGCGUCAUGAAUACCUCAAUCUCCAUCUUUUCUUCGGAUUGAUGGGUGACUUGGAUGUUGAGCCCUGCUGGUAUGCUAUAUCAGUUGGCUUUAAACUUAUUAGCCGGCUCUGUACUGGAUCGGUUUGACUCGACGUGAUAAUAUUAUCGUUGAGGAUGCAUGUCUCAUGCAGCCGGAAAGUAUCAAAGCAGAUUCUAGCUUGCCUUUAGUGCACUUUUACAUUUUAGACCUCAGAUCAGGUGGGACUACCCGCUGAACUUAAGCAUAUCAAUAAGCGGAGGA